rnacentral:rRNA from 1 species
GAUGAACGCUGGCGGCGUGCCUAAUACAUGCAAGUCGAGCGAACAGAUGAGGAGCUUGCUCCUCUGACGUUAGCGGCGGACGGGUGAGUAACACGUGGAUAACCUACCUAUAAGACUGGGAUAACUUCGUGAAACCGUAGCUAAUACCGGAUAAUAUAUUGAACCGCAUGGUUCAAUAGUGAAAGACGGUUUUGCUGUCACUUAUAGAUGGAUCCGCGCCGCAUUAGCUAGUUGGUAAGGUAACGGCUUACCAAGGCAACGAUGCGUAGCCGACCUGAGAGGGUGAUCGGCCACACUGGAACUGAGACACGGUCCAGACUCCUACGGGAGGCAGCAGUAGGGAAUCUUCCGCAAUGGGCGAAAGCCUGACGGAGCAACGCCGCGUGAGUGAUGAAGGUCUUCGGAUCGUAAAACUCUGUUAUUAGGGAAGAACAAAUGUGUAAGUAACUAUGCACGUCUUGACGGUACCUAAUCAGAAAGCCACGGCUAACUACGUG